GCCCCGGUAGCCCAACGGUAGAGGCCAUGGCUUCAAAACCCAUACAGUGUCGGUUCGAAUCCGACCCGGGGUA
rnacentral:tRNA from 1 species